CCUACGGGUGGCAGCAGUCGAGAAUCAUUCACAAUGGAGGAAACCCUGAUGGUGCGACGCCGCGUGGGGGAAUGAAGGUCUUCGGAUUGUAAACCCCUGUCAUGUGGGAGCAAAUUAAAAAGAUAGUACCACAAGAGGAAGAGACGGCUAACUCUGUGCCAGCAGCCGCGGUAAUACAGAGGUCUCAAGCGUUGUUCGGAAUCACUGGGCGUAAAGCGUGCGUAGGCGGUUUCGUAAGUCGUGUGUGAAAGGCGGGGGCUCAACCCGCGGACGGCACAUGAUACUGCGAGACUAGAGUAAUGGAGGGGGAACCGGAAUUCACGGUGUAGCAGUGAAAUGCGUAGAUAUCGAGAGGAACACUCGUGGCGAAGGCGGGUUCCUGGACAUUAACUGACGCUGAGGCACGAAGGCGAGGGGAGCGAAAGGGAUUAGAUACCCCUGUAGUC
rnacentral:rRNA from 1 species